CCAAGAUUGAGAAAAAAGUGAGAGUAUGGGUGAAAAGAAUGAGAAAGGAUGGUACUGAGAAGACAAAGGAAAAAAGUAGACUGCAUGCCCCUCUACCAAAGGUGUUGUUUGUUGACUCGAUUUUUCGAAAGCGAGAAAAGAUAAAGAGCUCUUGACCUGUUUUGUAAGCUGGAUAUGUAAUUUGAGUGUUCGUUUUGUCACAUUUCUCACUGAACGGUCAAAGCUUUCAGAAUCAACUGAUUGUUUCUAAUGCAUUCUAGCCUUUGGGAUUUCAGCCUGAACAACCUCUCCCCUGCUGGCAAAAUUAUUGCUUUGGUUCAGUUCUUAGGGCACCCACCCUUCUACUGAUUUGAGAUGACUAGCCACUGACAAGGUGGAAGGCCUUUGAAAGCACUGCAUAGCUUCCACUGAUGAUGAGAUCACGUACCAAAUGCACAUAAUCCGGUAAAUGAGCAAAAGUAGACCUUUUAUCAUCUUCCCAUGGCAUCUGUUUCUUUUCUCUUGCUGAAACUUUAUACCUCGUACGUGGAUAUUUUUCUACCUGUCUGCUUUCUACUAUUAAAAGAACUAUAACCUCCAA
rnacentral:lncRNA from 1 species